CAAUAGCGUAUAUUAAAGUUGUUGCGGUUAAAAAGCUCGUAGUUGGAUCUCGGCAGGCAGGGGGUGGUUCGCUCUUAGCGCUACUGCCCCAUUUGCCUGUGUGAUUGGCGGAGGUUUCGGGGUGCUCUUCGUUGAGUGACCCGGGGCGCCGUCAGGUUUACUUUGAAAAAAUUAGAGUGCUCAAAGCAGGCUUUUCACGCUUGAAUAUUCGUGCAUGGAAUAACGGAAUAGGAACUCGUUUCUAUUUUGUUGGUUUUCGGAAAUCGAGUUAAUGAUUAAUAGGGACAAUUGGGGGCAUUAGUAUUCAGACGACAGAGGUGAAAUUCUUGGACCGUCUGAAGACUAACUACUGCGAAAGCAUUUGCCAAGAGUGUUUUCAUUAA
rnacentral:rRNA from 1 species